GAGUGUAGCUUAGUGGUAAGGUAUGUGCUUAGCAGGCACAAGGCCCUAGGUUCUAUACCCAGCACUC
rnacentral:tRNA from 1 species